GCCUUAGCUCAGUAGGUUAGAGCGCUUGAUUGUGGAUCAAGAGGUCCCUGGUUCGAGACC
rnacentral:tRNA from 13 species